rnacentral:lncRNA from 1 species
UUUUUUUUUCUGAUAAAGUUAUGUUUGAACCUGCAAAUGCUACCAAAUCUCUAAACAAUCUUCAACACAAUAUAAGGAUUAUUUUAUUUUUAUUCUUUAGGCAAAGUUUAUUAACUUGAAUUUCUGCCAUUUGGUAUUCAAAUGUACAGUAUUUCCAAUAUGUAGUGUUCUUGAUUCUGGAAAGUAUGCUGAUUAGUGAUUAAGUAUUUCCAUGGCAAUGAACUCUCGAUUCAGCUAAUUAGCCAAUAUUGCGGAGACAGAACUGAGACUCUCCAUUCCGCUAAUAAGUCACUCUUUAGAGAUGUUUUCGUACUCACCCCACAGCGUUGGAUAUGUUGAUCCGUAGAUUUGAAAGGAUUAUUUUGAUCUUUAUCUUUUAGCCAAAGUUUAGCUAUCUGCAUAUCUGCCAUUUAGUACUCAAAUAUAUACUAUUUCCAGUCUUUAGUGUUCUUGAUUCUUGAAAGUAUGAUCAAGGUUUUUGAGUCGCCGAGUCAAGCCAAGUCGCCGAGGCUGCGGCUAGUGGCUUGCUGGCUUGAGUCAGCGACUUGGCUUGAUUAGUCGCCCCAAGUCGCCAUGGCAUAACAGUACAUAGAGCAGCAGAGCACAUAGAUAUACAGCAGCAGCAGAGCACAUAUACAGCAGAGAAAAUGUACUACAUCUAAGCAGAGCACAUAUAGAGCCCACCCUGCGCUAUCUUUCAUAUACUACAUCUAAGCAGAGCACAUAUAGAGCCCACCCUGCGCUCUCUUUCCUUCGGUCCUCCUCCUUCCCCAGUUCCCACAUGAUGACAUAUAUAGCAGCAGCAAGCCACGCGAGCCAGCGAGCCAGCCAGUCGCGCGACUAAUCGCACCAAGUCGCCGGCGAGCCACGCGAGUCGCGCGACUUGCUCCCUGAGUCAAGUCGCCUGCGCGAGCCAGCCAUGCCGCGACGACUUGGCGAUUAGUCGGCGACUCAAAAACAGAGAGUAUGAUGAUUAGUGAUUAAUAUUUCCAUGGCAAUUAACUCUUGUUCAGCUAAUAACCAAUGUUACGGGGCACAACUGAGACUCUCCACUGAACUCAUGAACUCUCAUUCUGCUAAUAAGUCACUCCUUAGAGAUGUUUUCGUGCUCACUCCACGGUGUUGGUACGUUGAUCAGUAGAUUUGAAAGGAAAGAAGAAAAACAUAGCUUAUUCAGCGAAUAAAUUAAAAGUGCUGUCUGGAUGUUACUGCUGUGUGACUUUCAGUUUUGUUUUGCUUUUCACAAUGCUUGCAAUGGAAAUGCUCAGCAUUGUAGAAACAUGUGUACAUGCCAAAAAGACUUGACCAAAAGGCUAACUAAAGAUCAUUGGUGCUUGCAAUGGAAAUGCUCAGCAUUGUAGAAACAUGUGUAC